rnacentral:rRNA from 1 species
UACGGAGGAUCCAAGCGUUAUCCGGAUUUAUUGGGUUUAAAGGGUGCGUAGGCGGCCUGUUAAGUCAGGGGUGAAAGACGGUAGCUCAACUAUCGCAGUGCCCUUGAAACUGAUGGGCUUGAAUGUACUAGAGGCAGGCGGAAUGUGACAAGUAGCGGUGAAAUGCAUAGAUAUGUCACAGAACACCAAUUGCGAAGGCAGCUUGCUAUGGUAUAAUUGACGCUGAGGCACGAGAGCGUGGGGAUCAAACAGG